rnacentral:rRNA from 1 species
UAGUUUGAUCCUGGCUCAGGACGAACCCUUCCUGCGUGCUUAACACAUGCAAGUCGAACGGGAAACUUUAUUUCGGUAAAGGAUCUAGUGGCAAACGGGUGAGUAACGCGUAGGCAACCUGCCCUUAGGAUGGGGACAACGGCCCGAAAGGACCGCUAAUACCGAAUGCACUCUAACUUCCGCAUGGAAGAAAGAGGAAAGAUGGUGCAAGCCAUCGCCGAAGGAAGGGCCUGCGUCUGAUUAGCCAGUUGGUGAGGUAACGGCUCACCAAAGCGACGAUCAGUAGCCGGUCUGAGAGGAUGAACGGCCACAAUGGGACUGAGACACGGCCCAUACUCCUACGGGGGGCAGCAGUGGGGAAUCUUCCGCAAUGGGCGAAAGCCUGACGGAGCAACGCCGCGUGAGUGAAGAAGGUCUUCGGAUCGUAAAGCUCUGUUGUUGGGGACGAAAGGGAAAGGGAGGAAAUGCCCUUUUUAAGACGGUACCCGACGAGCAAGCCUCGGCUAACUACGUGCCGGCAGCCGCGGUAAUACGUAGGUGGCGAGCGUUGUCCGGAAUGAUUGGGCGUAAAGGGAGCGCAGGUGGGACGGUAAGUCCUUCUUAAAAGCGUGGGGCUCAGCCCCAUGAAGGGAAGGAAA